rnacentral:misc_RNA from 1 species
GAUGAAGAACGUAGCGAAAUGCGAUAAGUAGUGUGAAUUGCAGAAUUCAGUGAAUCAUCGAAUCUUUGAACGCACAUUGCGCCCCUUGGUAUUCCAUGGGGCAUGCCUGUUCGAGCGUCAUUUGUACCUUCAAGCUUUGCUUGGUGUUGGGUGUUUGUCUCGCCUUUGCGUGUAGACUCGCCUUAAAAUAAUUGGCAGCCGGCGUAUUGAUUUCGGAGCGCAGUACAUCUCGCGCUUUGCACUCAUAACGACAGCGUCCAAAAGUGCAUUUUACACUCUUGACCUCGGAUCAGGUAGGGAUACCCGCUGAACUUAAGCAUAUCAAUAAGCGGAGGA